UCGGAGGAGUGGUACGGUACGGUGUGUCGCCAUGGCUCCCUCCUGCAGUCCUGUGACGCCGCUGGCCCUGUGGCGGCGGCGCGACUCGACCAACUCGGCUCCGCUGGCGCCGGUGUCGUUCUGCCUGCCGGACGGCGGCCGCCUUCAGCGAGAGCUGCGCAUCAACUACAACAUGAGCGAGGUGCGCGCCCUGCUGGCGGACGAGAUCCAGUUUGAUCCGGAUCAGUUGGACAUCUACUGCGACUCGGAGCCGGAGCCCGUCGCCGACAGCCUGGUGCUGGCCGGGCUCGACGUGGAGCACCGCCAGCUGACUCUGCACGUGCAGCUGAGGGAGCCGGCAGCCGCACCGGUCCGGCCGGCCGGCCAGCCAGAGCGCCACCCUCCGGCCGCGCCUCCGCUGAAGCCAGUGAAGGGCCACGACUCGCAGCAGCAGCCGUUCGCGCGGCGCGUGUACGAGUGGGGCAUGAGGCGGCGGUGCUCGCUGAGGUGGCGGUGAGCGGGUGAGCCGCGCACGGCCGCCUGAGGGCGACGGUGGACGGCCACCAGAGCAGCACCACAGCUGACCGCUGCCGUCUCCAUGACCGGCCUCCGAUGGGAAGCCGCAGCCAGUGGGCUAUGCACCUCGCUAUACAGGUGUGACAGUCAGGGGCACUCGGCGAUACAGGUGUGACAGUCAGGAGCUCUGGGCGAUACAGGUGUGACGGUGUUUACAAUUUACCAUUGAAUUUUUACGAACGAUGUUUUGAUCAGCUAAGUUAUAUGUAACGUGCCUUAACGCUCAGAUUUUGCAUUCCGAGGCCAAUAUCAAGAUAAUCAUGGUGCCGUUUGCUCUUUCCCUCCCUGUUUGUUUCGUGGUAAUUCAUUUCUGACAACUACUCACGUUAGGUCAAAGUCUAUCGCGCCUUACGGUUUUUGACAUCAGAGGUUGUGUGUUUUUGGUCGCUGCUUCAGUGCAGUUGUGCAUUUUCUGCCAUCAGAGAAAUGCUGAUGUGGUUUUACUAAUGGUCUCUAUGAGACUUCUGAUACUCGCUUGUCAGCAUGUUCCCUGAUAGAAUUGCAUUGAUUAGUCAUUCCCAGUUGUAAGAAUAAGGCGUUUGCGUGUGAAGUGCCUAUAGUGUUAAGUGUAUAUUUUGCUAUUCGGAUGUUGAGUGCAUCGCUGUGCUACGAGAAACUAUGAGUCUUCUGGUCACCUAAAGCUGGUUUUGCAUAAUACACGUGGUAGGUACUCGAUAA
rnacentral:misc_RNA from 1 species